GCUUAGGCGUGUGACUGCGUACCUUUUGUAUAAUGGGUCAGCGACUUAUAUUCUGUAGCAAGGUUAACCGAAUAGGGGAGCCGAAGGGAAACCGAGUCUUAACUGGGCGUUAAGUUGCAGGGUAUAGACCCGAAACCCGGUGAUCUAGCCAUGGGCAGGUUGAAGGUUGGGUAACACUAACUGGAGGACCGAACCGACUAAUGUUGAAAAAUUAGCGGAUGACUUGUGGCUGGGGGUGAAAGGCCAAUCAAACCGGGAGAUAGCUGGUUCUCCCCGAAAGCUAUUUAGGUAGCGCCUCGUGAAUUCAUCUCCGGGGGUAGAGCACUGUUUCGGCAAGGGGGUCAUCCCGACUUACCAACCCGAUGCAAACUGCGAAUACCGGAGAAUGUUAUCACGGGAGACACACGGCGGGUGCUAACGUCCGUCGUGAAGAGGGAAACAACCCAGACCGCCAGCUAAGGUCCCAAAGUCAUGGUUAAGUGGGAAACGAUGUGGGAAGGCCCAGACAGCCAGGAUGUUGGCUUAGAAGCAGCCAUCAUUUAAAGAAAGCGUAAUAGCUCACUGGUCGAGUCGGCCUGCGCGGAAGAUGUAACGGGGCUAAACCAUGCACCGAAGCUGCGGCAGCGACGCUUAUGCGUUGUUGGGUAGGGGAGCGUUCUGUAAGCCUGUGAAGGUGUGCUGUGAGGCAUGCUGGAGGUAUCAGAAGUGCGAAUGCUGACAUAAGUAACGAUAAAGCGGGUGAAAAGCCCGCUCGCCGGAAGACCAAGGGUUCCUGUCCAACGUUAAUCGGGGCAGGGUGAGUCGACCCCUAAGGCGAGGCCGAAAGGCGUAGUCGAUGGGAAACAGGUUAAUAUUCCUGUACUUGGUGUUACUGCGAAGGGGGGACGGAGAAGGCUAUGUUGGCCGGGCGACGGUUGUCCCGGUUUAAGCGUGUAGGCUGGUUUUCCAGGCAAAUCCGGAAAAUCAAGGCUGAGGCGUGAUGACGAGGCACUACGGUGCUGAAGCAACAAAUGCCCUGCUUCCAGGAAAAGCCUCUAAGCAUCAGGUAACAUCAAAUCGUACCCCAAACCGACACAGGUGGUCAGGUAGAGAAUACCAAGGCGCUUGAGAGAACUCGGGUGAAGGAACUAGGCAAAAUGGUGCCGUAACUUCGGGAGAAGGCACGCUGAUAUGUAGGUGAAGCGACUUGCUCGUGGAGCUGAAAUCAGUCGAAGAUACCAGCUGGCUGCAACUGUUUAUUAAAAACACAGCACUGUGCAAACACGAAAGUGGACGUAUACGGUGUGACGCCUGCCCGGUGCCGGAAGGUUAAUUGAUGGGGUCAGCGCAAGCGAAGCUCUUGAUCGAAGCCCCGGUAAACGGCGGCCGUAACUAUAACGGUCCUAAGGUAGCGAAAUUCCUUGUCGGGUAAGUUCCGACCUGCACGAAUGGCGUAAUGAUGGCCAGGCUGUCUCCACCCGAGACUCAGUGAAAUUGAACUCGCUGUGAAGAUGCAGUGUACCCGCGGCAAGACGGAAAGACCCCGUGAACCUUUACUAUAGCUUGACACUGAACAUUGAGCCUUGAUGUGUAGGAUAGGUGGGAGGCUUAGAAGUGUGGACGCCAGUCUGCAUGGAGCCGACCUUGAAAUACCACCCUUUAAUGUUUGAUGUUCUAACGUUGACCCGUAAUCCGGGUUGCGGACAGUGUCUGGUGGGUAGUUUGACUGGGGCGGUCU
rnacentral:rRNA from 1 species